AACGAACGCUGGCGGCAUGCCUAACACAUGCAAGUCGAACGAGACCUUCGGGUCUAGUGGCGCACGGGUGCGUAACGCGUGGGAACCUGCCCUUAGGGUCGGAAUAACUCCCCGACAGGGGUGCUAAUACCGGAUAAUGUCUUCGGACCAAAGAUUUAUCGCCUUUGGUUGGGCCCGCGUUGGAUUAGCUAGUUGGUAGGGUAAAAGACUACCAAGGCGACAAUCCAUAGCUGGUCUGAGAGGAUGAUCAGCCACACUGGGACUGAGACACGGCCCAGACUCCUACGGGAGGCAGCAGUGGGGAAUAUUGGACCAUGGGCGAAAGCCUGAUCCAGCACUGCCGCGUGAGUGAUGAAGGCCUUAGGGUUGUAAAGCUCUUUUACCCGGGAUGAUAAUGACAGUACCGGGAGAAUAAGCUCCGGCUAACUCCGUG
rnacentral:rRNA from 1 species